CUUAGUCUGUUGCCCAGGAUGGAAUGCAGUAGUGUGAUUACACCUAACUUCAGCCUGAAACUCCUGGGGUCAAGUUAUCCCCCGACCUCAUCAUCCCAAGUAAUGGGGACUACAGAGUUUAGGAUGCUUCAAGGGAAAGAUGAACCGGGGAACCGCCACCGUGACUAUUUCUCAUCUACAUAUCCACCCCCCGAAGUUCUUAAGGUGGAGCGGAAUUCAUUUUAUUUGCAAAUGUGGAAGGCAUUAUAAAAACCGUGAAUGAUGCCCCCUCCCAUGAGGGAUACAGGGAGAGCCACGUGAAGAGGAUGUUGGGCUUCUUCAAGCUGGCAGGGCACUGAGCUGACUGUCCACCACACUCACCAGGGGCCUUUGUGCAUCCCGUGGGGCAGCUCUGGGAAAGGAGGCUGGAAAAAAAAGUCCUAUGGGCCAAAUCCUCCUGAUCCUGUAUAGCCCACAACAUAAUAAUAGUUUUAUAUUUUUAAAUGGUUGGAAAAAUCAAAAGAAGAAGAAUAUUUCAUGAGGGCCAGAAAGGAUGGGCUUUCCCUUUUCCUCGUGGCAGAAACUUCCCUGACUUCAUAGCUGGGUUCCCCCUAUCCACAGUUUACAGUACAACUAUCUCCUCCAAGUUGGCCAGCAUUGCCUCUGAUACGUGAACAAGAAGUAUUUGGAGGGUUAAUAAAUACAAAUCAACACAUAUACACAUGAAGAGAAAAUGGAUGUAAUAACCAAGGACUGCCUGAUAUGCGGGAACUGAAGCUCAGAAAGGCAAAACAACUUUUCAUGCUCUUCUACCUAAUAAGUCGGAGAACCAAGAUUCAAAUUCUAAAUGCGGGUCUGAUUGAGGCCAAGCAGGUGAGCAGGCUCAAUGGGAUUCUCAGUGUUGGCCUGGCUUCCACACAAGGAAGAGGCCACUGGCAGGGGUUCCUGUCCUCAGCCAGGCUUCUAGCCUGACACUGGCUGGACAACGCAGAGUGAAGCUGGUCAUAGGGCAGGGUUUCCUGAAGCUGUGCCUGCUUCAUGAGGCUGCCUGCUGGCCCAGGCUCACCUCUCCCUCCAAAGGGCACAGUGGCUAUUUCUGGCCGUCCCAGCCUCUGGCUGUGUCUGUCUUCUUUAACCUUCCUGAGGCUCCAAAGGCCAUUAGGAAGCUGGCCGAAGCUUCAUGGCCCAAUGACAGGACUAGGAUCUUACUGGAUGGAGGAGGGGAGAGAGUGAGUCUUUAGGUCCGUGAAAUUGCUGCCAGCAUUUGGCCAGCUGUCGUCCAUCAGCCAGAGAGCUAACCAGAGCCUCCCUUGGGGCUGGUCCCUGGAGUGCCAUGGAGCAGAGGCCGUGCCAGUUCCUGGCUGGGGGCCAGAAGAAAAUCAAUAUGAGUUGGCCUGCUCCAGCAGGGCCCCCCACAUCUGGUGCCGGGAAUGACUGAUUGAAGGGACUUGUCAUAGAAUGAUGGGAGGCCACAGCUGGAAGGGAUUUGAGUGACCAUAUGGCCCAGUGGUUCGCAAACCCUUUAACACAGUGGAGAUCUUUCUUCGAAUGAAACUGCAGGCAGUAAAAACCAAUACAGAAAACUGUUAGUAGUAGAACUCACUGAGAUCCUGGGAACUCCCUGGGCCCCUGGCGGUCUGUGAAACAGCUUGGGCCAUGCUCAUCUCCUGGAACUCCCUGGUGGUGGAGAUGGAAAACAGGACAGAGGGUGAGAUUCUGACCUGUGGGGCAGAGCCAGGGCCCAGAGCCCAGGCUCUGACUUCCAGUGGGGCCCAGAAGACUGAAGCCACUCAGGGACUGUAUUAAUCCAGUCUGGCCAGGAGAGCUGCUUGUCUGUCCUGAGAUACCUAGGGGAAGCCCUGUCUGAUCACUUUCAGAUGCUGGGCAAAGGGAGGCCCUCCCUCCAGAAGGCUGCAUCAUUAGAGGUUUGAGUCAAGACCCUGGAGGAAACUGCAAGCUCAUGGAGCUGGGAGACCUGGGGUCAGCUUUGUCCUCCUAUAUAAAGGCUGAAAGUCAGGGACACUGAGGCAAGGGCUCCUUCCAGUUAUGUCCCAGAAGAAGAUAAAAGAAAAACUUCUUUGGGACUGGUGGGAAUCUUGGGAGAAAGUGGAAGGAUGAGUGGCCUCAAGCAUAUGGACUGGGUUCUCUUGUCCCAUUCUGGGAAAGUGUCAAAGGAACUGAGUGUUUGUUCGUGCCUCUAGGAGAGAAGAGGAUUUAGCCUAAGGCAGUGCCACCCACAGGAAAGGAAAGAGGGACAGUGGAGGCUCCUGGUUGGUGGGGACCAUGGUCCUUUAGGAAUGCUCUUCAGCAGUGCCUCACAGAGAAGAGCAGAUUCCUAGUGGAGCAUACACUUCAGCCAGCACCCGAGCCCCAGACUUCAUUAGUGUUCAGGUUUUACUUACUCUCACCAGUCUCUGGGUUUCAGACACAUUCUGGGCUUCAUGUGGACCCCAGACUUACUGUAUAUCCGGGCUACUUCUCACUUCAGAUGCUCUCCCCAGAACUGUUUAUUGGAUUAUUCUGAUUAUUCUCAAAGUUUUAUCCAUAUCUUGGGUUUUAUUCAAACCCACUGACCUUUAUUCAAUGCCAUAGAGUUUAUGUAGCUGAGAAUUUGUUUACUUUCAGACUCAAGACUUUAUCCUGUUCCUGCUUCAUCAAGCUAAACUCAGAGUUAAGCCUGCCAACCCUCUUCCACCUUCACCAGGUGUCAGUUCUAGCCUGUUACUUGUCUAGUUCUCAGAGGCUGUAGUGCCGUAAACCUUAUGUGUACGUUUGGCUUACCGGAAUCCAUCCUCAUUUUAACUACUUAAUCACAGGCUUUAUCACGGGCACACCUAGUUCCACUUUUACCCAGUUGCCUCUAAUGAACUAGUAGAGGGUAGUUAGUGUUCCAAGCAUGAACGCUGGAGUCAGACAGCUUUGAGUUCUGCUUAAUUUCUUCCGUGUGGCUUCGCAUAAGUAACUUAACCUCUCUGAGCUUUGCUUCCAACAUAUGUAAAUGAGAUAAUAAAGAUAAUGCAUAUAAAAUGCAUAGCACGUCGCCUAGCACAUAGUAAGCAUGUAGUCAGCUCUGGCUGUUGAUUUUAGCAUGAGCCUCACAAUGAAUAGCAUGUGGAAAUGCAGGAUUCAGGGCUAGAGCUGGACAGGUGAUGAAGGGAAAAGUAAAAAGUUGGCUAACUUUAGAAAAAGGAAAUAAGAAUUUGCUCUUUUUUUUUUCUCAGAAAAAGUUAAACAUACAGUUAGAAACUUUCAUGAACCCUCAUAGCUCAGCAGUUAGGAGACAAGUCUGAUGUGAUGGCAGAGGCUCAGUGAAAGUUGGGACAGAGGCUGGGCGUGGUGGCUCCCGCCUGU
rnacentral:lncRNA from 1 species